AGCUUUAUGCAUUGGCAGUAUCAUAGCCAAUGAUGUUUAUCCAAGGCAUGAUUAUUGCUAAUUGAGAACUCACUAAUAAGUUAACAACAGAGACAAGCAUCUUUUCCUUACUGCAUUUCCCCUGUUUCACUGGGUUGCAUUGCUACAAUAAAGACAUUGGACUUCUCUUU
rnacentral:snRNA from 12 species